rnacentral:rRNA from 1 species
GCCUAACACAUGCAAGUCGAGGGGCAUCGGGAUUGAAGCUUGCUUCAAUUGCCGGCGACCGGCGCACGGGUGCGUAACGCGUAUGUAACCUACCUAUAACAGGGGCAUAACACUGAGAAAUUGGUACUAAUUCCCCAUAAUAUUCGGAGAGGCAUCUCUCCGGGUUGAAAACUCCGGUGGUUAUAGAUGGACAUGCGUUGUAUUAGCUAGUUGGUGAGGUAACGGCUCACCAAGGCAACGAUACAUAGGGGGACUGAGAGGUUAACCCCCCACACUGGUACUGAGACACGGACCAGACUCCUACGGGAGGCAGCAGUGAGGAAUAUUGGUCAAUGGACGCAAGUCUGAACCAGCCAUGCCGCGUGCAGGAAGACGGCUCUAUGAGUUGUAAACUGCUUUUGUACGAGGGUAAACUCACCUACGUGUAGGUGACUGAAAGUAUCGUACGAAUAAGGAUCGGCUAACUCCGUGCCAGCAGCCGCGGUAAUACGGAGGAUUCAAGCGUUAUCCGGAUUUAUUGGGUUUAAAGGGUGCGUAGGCGGUUUGAUAAGUUAGAGGUGAAAUCCCGGGGCUUAACUCCGGAACUGCCUCUAAUACUGUUAGACUAGAGAGUAGUUGCGGUAGGCGGAAUGUAUGGUGUAGCGGUGAAAUGCUUAGAGAUCAUACAGAACACCGAUUGCGAAGGCAGCUUACCAAAC